rnacentral:rRNA from 1 species
GCUUCUUUUUCCACCGGAGCUUGCUCCACCGGAAAAAGAAGAGUGGCGAACGGGUGAGUAACACGUGGGUAACCUGCCCAUCAGAAGGGGAUAACACUUGGAAACAGGUGCUAAUACCGUAUAACAAUCGAAACCGCAUGGUUUUGAUUUGAAAGGCGCUUUCGGGUGUCGCUGAUGGAUGGACCCGCGGUGCAUUAGCUAGUUGGUGAGGUAACGGCUCACCAAGGCCACGAUGCAUAGCCGACCUGAGAGGGUGAUCGGCCACAUUGGGACUGAGACACGGCCCAAACUCCUACGGGAGGCAGCAGUAGGGAAUCUUCGGCAAUGGACGAAAGUCUGACCGAGCAACGCCGCGUGAGUGAAGAAGGUUUUCGGAUCGUAAAACUCUGUUGUUAGAGAAGAACAAGGAUGAGAGUAACUGUUCAUCCCUUGACGGUAUCUAACCAGAAAGCCACGGCUAACUACGUGCCAGCAGCCGCGGUAAUACGUAGGUGGCAAGCGUUGUCCGGAUUUAUUGGGCGUAAAGCGAGCGCAGGCGGUUUCUUAAGUCUGAUGUGAAAGCCCCCGGCUCAACCGGGGAGGGUCAUUGGAAACUGGGAGACUUGAGUGCAGAAGAGGAGAGUGGAAUUCCAUGUGUAGCGGUGAAAUGCGUAGAUAUAUGGAGGAACACCAGUGGCGAAGGCGGCUCUCUGGUCUGUAACUGACGCUGAGGCUCGAAAGCGUGGGGAGCAAACAGGAUUAGAUACCCUGGUAGUCCACGCCGUAAACGAUGAGUGCUAAGUGUUGGAGGGUUUCCGCCCUUCAGUGCUGCAGCUAACGCAUUAAGCACUCCGCCUGGGGAGUACGACCGCAAGGUUGAAACUCAAAGGAAUUGACGGGGGCCCGCACAAGCGGUGGAGCAUGUGGUUUAAUUCGAAGCAACGCGAAGAACCUUACCAGGUCUUGACAUCCUUUGACCACUCUAGAGAUAGAGCUUCCCCUUCGGGGGCAAAGUGACAGGUGGUGCAUGGUUGUCGUCAGCUCGUGUCGUGAG